rfam:Ovis aries breed Texel chromosome 3, whole genome shotgun sequence.
UCCCUGGUGGCUUAGAUGGUAAAGAAUCUUCCUGCAAUGCAGGAGACCCAGGUUCCAUCCCUGGGUUGGGAA